rnacentral:tmRNA from 1 species
GGGGACGUUCCGGAUUCGACAGGGGCUAUUCGGGCAUUUUAAGCGUGUCGGAGGUUUCGGCUUCGUCAUCAACGAUACUCAGUUAUAAUAACUGGCAAACAAAACAAUUUCGCAGUAGCUGCCUAAGAGCGCUCUGCAUCAUCCCAUGAGCUUUCCUAUGGCCCGUGACGAUGAUCCAAUUGAAAUAGGAUACGCUUUUUAAUCUGCGGUCGGAAGAUUGAGAGAAGAGAUUAAUCGGACUAGCAUGGAAUGAGGUUCGUUCAUUACCAUCAUCCAUGUGAAACUCAAUAAUGGACUACACACGUAGAAAGAAAUGUUGCGAGGUCUCUGGACGCGGGUUCAACUCCCGCCGUCUCCAUAC